rnacentral:rRNA from 1 species
GAUGAACGCUGGCGGCGUGCCUAAUACAUGCAAGUCGAGCGAACAGAUGAGGAGCUUGCUCCUCUGACGUUAGCGGCGGACGGGUGAGUAACACGUGGAUAACCUACCUAUAAGACUGGGAUAACUUCGGGAAACCGGAGCUAAUACCGGAUAAUAUAUUGAACCGCAUGGUUCAAUAGUGAAAUACGGUUUUGCUGUCACUUAUAGAUGGAUCCGCGCCGCAGUAGCUAGUUGGUAAGGUAACGGCUUACCAAGGCAACGAUGCGUAGCCGACCUGAGAGGGUGAUCGGACACACUGGAACUGAGACACGGUCCAGACUCCUACGGGAGGCAGCAGUAGGGAAUCUUCCGCAAUGGGCGAAAGCCUGACGGAGCAACGCCGCGUGAGUGAUGAAGGUCUUCGGAUCGUAAAACUCUGUUAUUAGGGAAGAACAAAUGUGUAAGUAACUAUGCACGUCUUGACGGUACCUAAUCAGAAAGCCACGGCUAACUACGUG